rnacentral:rRNA from 1 species
GAUGCGUCUUAAGCAUGCAAGUCGAGCGGGCUUAUUCGGGCAACUGGAUAAGUUAGCGGCGAACUGGUGAGUAACACGUAGGUAAUCUGCCGUGAAGUGGGGGAUAACCCAUGGAAACAUGGACUAAUACCGCAUAUACUCUUGCUACAUAAGUAGAGUAGAGGAAAGUUUUUUCGCUUCACGAUGAGCCUGCGGCCUAUUAGCCUGUUGGUAGGGUAAUGGCCUACCAAAGCUACGAUAGGUAGCCGACCUGAGAGGGUGACCGGCCACAUUGGGACUGAGAUACGGCCCAGACUCCUACGGGAGGCAGCAGCUGAGAAUCUUCCACAAUGGACGAAAGUCUGAUGGAGCGACAUCGCGUGAGGGAUGAAGGCCUUCGGGUUGUACCUCGGAAAUUAUCGAAGAAUGAGUGACAGUAGAUAAUGUAAGC